ACAUUUUCUCUAUCUUUAACACAUAAAUUUUCCAAUAACCCUCAAGAAACCAUUUCUCUAUCUUUAACCCAAAUCUUCCAAACCAAACAUGGACGUAUGGCAUCGUCACUUCCUCUAAAAAUCUACUCUCCUAAUCACCAUGUCAUGACCGCCAACCCAGACGAGGAGCAAGAUUGCUCCUACAUCCAAACAACGGUCUUGGAGUCUAUCUUGUUCUCGUCUUUUGCCAUUGUUACUCUACUCAUAAUAACUCCGCAUGAAUAUAUCGAUGGAAGUCCAGUUCCAACAAUCGUCUUCAAGGGUCUUCCUUCUGUGUUUCAUGGUUUUAUAAUAUCGAUUAUUUUUGCUUUUCUGGGUGCGUUUUGUGCUUUACUGGUUUCUCAUAGGCCAACUAUUGCUAGGUUUUGUGGAGUGUCGUCUAUGGUGUCUGUAACCUCAGCUCUUAUGUCGGUGUUGUGGGCUUUGGCCAGGGGAAAUCUUGUCUAAUAAGUAUCUCUUUUGGGUCUCUGUUUAAUGGAAUAAAGAUGGGAUUAAGUUUCUAAAUGAACAAGUCUGCAAUUCAAGUGUUGAAAGUGGAAGGGGCGUACUUGAACGAAGGCUCAAUUGCACCAUGCGCAAACAAUGAUUCCUGCAAGGUUUUCGAAUGUGCAGGAGGUGAAAGAUCAGCACUUUGUAUUCAUCAUCGUUGCAGAUGCCCAACUGGGCCGUCGUUGGAUUUGAUGAAUGGUAGUUUAUCUCGAGCAUGUAAUGAAGAUGAUGGAUGCAACAAUUUCUGCUCUUCUAAUUACGUUUCCAAGUGUGUUGACAACAAAUGCGCAUGCAUUGAUUAUAGUAACUAAAUAUAUAUACAUGAAUGUAUGCAUAUUUAUAUGCAUAUACACAGAUAAUAAUGCUUCUUUGGUAUGUAAUUGGUUGACAAAUAAGAAGUCACUAAAUACAAUUAA